rnacentral:lncRNA from 1 species
UCCACGAUCCAGCCUCCCGAUCAUCGCGCUAGUCCUCGCCCUGCCUGGGCCUCCCCAGAGACGGGAGCUUGGGUGGGGGACCCUGGACCCGAAGCCAAGGCUGAACUGGUGUGCCAAGCCCAGGGAGCAACCAAGUCCCCAACUCUUUCCCUGCCCUUCCCGCAGGCUGAGCAGAAAACCAGGAAGUGGAUGGGCUGUAUCUCCGCAGCCACGCCUGCCCGUUUGCGCUUAUUGAACGGAGGUCCUCAGGAACAUGAAAAUGAAGGGAGGAUUAUUAACUUUAUGCCAUCUUCAAACCAGAAGAUCUUAGAUUAGUAAGAUCAUGUUGGCCACGGCAUGGAGAAUGGGCUGGAGGUGGAGAGACUGGCGGCUGGAAGUCCAGUUAGGAGAUCGCUCCUGCACUGGGGAGCUGGUGUUAGGACAGAAGAUCCAAGACGCAUUUCAGAGAGCCCCUCUUCUUGGGCCUGUGAUUCCUCACCUGGAAGGGAGAAGAGUGGACUUCCUGCCUAGAGAACACCUUGGUAAACACUUUAUGGUUCCUGUCAUGAGAAGGUGUGCAGCUUAGGGAAAAAGCCUGUGAGCUCUGGAAUCAGAUGGAACUGGAUAUAAAUUUCAGUUUAAACUGCCUUGGGGUUCAUGUUGCAGCAUCAAACAGGGAUGGAAGAUGCAUCUUGCUUUAGCAGCAGGAGCCUGGAAAGCAGCUGAAGCCCUGGAGGGUGCCUGGCACACAGAAUCUUGUGCUGAGCCCGGAGCCCAAUGGGAGCGGGCUGGCGGGGUGGGUUCACAGCUGGACUGGGAGCAGCAGACAUACAGGCCGUAGGCACAGACAUAUAAAGACAGUCAUGCAGAUUGCAGGAUGCCUGAGAGCACAGACUCUCACAUGCACAAAUAUGUGCAUGAUCACCAGUGUGUAUCCAGACAGCCCCACAUGCGUGCACGUGCAUGCACACAUGAGAUAUGUACAUAGAUGGACACAUGUCUAUGCCCACAAACACUGCAGAGACACACGCUAAAGUGUCUGGCAAGGAGCACUAUUUUGUCCUCAAUUUUCUGCCAGCGAGAGUCUACUGACUCCAUCUCUGAAAUGUCUCUACUUAUUGUCCCUCUUCUUCACCUGUGCCACAUCCCUAAUCCCUGAAACUCCCACCGAGACCCCUGGGAAAUAGCAAAGUCAGGACAGGAUUCCUGCUCCGCCUCUACCCGACCCUUAAGCCCAUCCUACAUGCAAGAGCAGGAGUUAUCUGGGUAUCAGGCAAAUCUGACCACAUCACCUCCCCACUGCUUAAAACCCUUUCCUACAGGAUGAAGUUUAAAUCACUUGACAUCCCAUAUAAGGCGCUUGACUGUCUGGCAUCAGCCGUAGUCUGGCCUCAGGCCCUGGCAUGGAGUCCCCUGGACUCAGUGCUCCGGCUGAGGGCCUCCAGGAUGAAGAUGCCCUGUGCAAAGCCUCACACUUCUGCUGUUGCUGGGCUCACUGUGUGAAAUUCCCUCCUCCCUCCUUCCACCUUCCUCCCUCCUUCCACCUUCCCUAUGCUGAACUGCCACUCCUCCAUCCUCCGUGGCCAGCGAAGCCAACACCUCCCCACUUCCUCCUGACAACCCAGGCACAGCCACUGACCUGUCCCAUGGCUGUCACAGCCCUUUCUUGGGCUCUCAAUGGUAUCGUUGUCACCUGUGUGCUCAUGAGCCUCCGCCACUCAACUCCAAGCACAUCAAAUAGAGAGCUCAAAACAUAUUGGGUACUCAA